AGGCGAGUAGCUCAAUUGGUAGAGCACUGGUCUCCAAAACCAGUGGUUGCAGGUUCGAGUCCUGUCUCGCCUG
rnacentral:tRNA from 1 species